ensembl:miRNA
UCACCUGGCUGUGUGACGUGUGGGCUUCCCUUUGUCAUCCUUUGCCUAGGGUUCUGAGCAGGGCAGGGACAGCAAAGGGGGGCUCAGUCGUUACCCUCUGCAGCACAGA